GGUUUACACUUGAUCUCUGAACUUCAGGUAAGUUCAAUUGUUGAGAAGCUUAUGUGCUGAUGCU